AGCAACGCGAAGAACCUUACCAGGUCUUGACAUCCUCUGACAACUCUGGAGACAGAGCGUUCCCCUUCGGGGGACAGAGUGACAGGUGGUGCAUGGUUGUCGUCAGCUCGUGUCGUGAGAUGUUGGGUUAAGUCCCGCAACGAGCGCAACCCUUGUCCUUAGUUGCCAGCAUUUAGUUGGGCACUCUAAGGAGACUGCCGGUGACAAGCCGGAGGAAGGUGGGGAUGACGUCAAAUCAUCAUGCCCCUUAUGACCUGGGCUACACACGUGCUACAAUGGAUAGAACAAAGGGCAGCGAAGCCGCGAGGUGAAGCAAAUCCCAUAAAUCUAUUCUCAGUUCGGAUUGCAGGCUGCAACUCGCCUGCAUGAAGCCGGAAUCGCUAGUAAUCGCGGAUCAGCAUGCCGCGGUGAAUACGUUCCCGGGCCUUGUACACACCGCCCGUCACACCACGAGAGUUUGUAACACCCGAAGUCGGUGGGGUAACCUUUUAGGGGCCAGCCGCCUAAGGUGGG
rnacentral:rRNA from 1 species